GACGAACGCUGGCGGCGUGCUUAACACAUGCAAGUCGAACGGUGAAGCGCCUUCCUUUUUGGUGGGUGUGGAUGAGUGGCGAACGGGUGAGUAACACGUGAGUAACCUGCCCCCUUCUUCUGGAUAACCGCAUGAAAGUGUGGCUAAUACGGGAUAUUCUGGGUCUGUCGCAUGAUGGGUCUGGGAAAGAUAUUGUUUCGGUGGGGGAUGGGCUCGCGGCCUAUCAGCUUGUUGGUGGGGUGAUGGCCUACCAAGGCGGUGACGGGUAGCCGGCCUGAGAGGGUGGACGGUCACACUGGACUGAGACACGGCCCAGACUCCUACGGGAGGCAGCAGUGGGGAAUAUUGCACAAUGGGCGCAAGCCUGAUGCAGCGACGCCGCGUGAGGGAUGGAGGCCUUCGGGUUGUGAACCUCUUUCGCCAGUGAAGCAGGCCUGCCUCGUUUGUGGGUGGGUUGACGGUAGCUGGAGAAGAAGCGCCGGCUAACUACGUG
rnacentral:rRNA from 1 species